UUUUUAUAAUAUACAAUACAAAAAAAUAGGAGAAAGGUAUAACCAACAUCAAGAAUCUCACGAGUCGAACUAACUCGCUCCCUGACUUAACCUAAUCCAAUAUUCUUGGCUCCCCUCUACGCUCAACGCUGAUUGGCGGUAGAAAGCAGUUUUUUUUCUCAGUCACAAAUAGGUGUUUCUGACUAUAUUUUUGUAUUGUUUCAUCUAGUAGUAGGGAUGUGUUUUUACCGAAAAGGUCCCUCAAAUGAUUGAGACGCUCCUAAACUGUCGAUUCUCGUGUUGACUACAAGAUAAGACCAAUAGCCCGUCUGGAUAUUCUAUACAAAGAAAGAGACGCGCCGUGAGCAGCUCAUUACUUUGUGAACUUCUACAGACGAAAGUUAAGUUUUCCAUGGUGAAGAGUUCAAAAAUUAUUUGUCUCCUGCAAUCACUACUAGUUUGUUGAGCAUUACAUUUCCUCUUACGAAGAAAAGAUAGUCAGCGAAAUGUGAUUGUGAGAAGGAUUAAUAUUUGCAAAUAAUAAUAUCAUCGCAUAAUAUCAUAGUCUUUGCUGCUGUUAAUCAUCAUGCCUAUGUCUACUUUCAGUCUAUUAUGUUAUUGACAAAUAAUCAUCAUAUAGAAUGAGAAGACAUAUUUGUUAAGUAUAAUCAACGAAAUGAUAUUUUUGAAACAUAUUUAGUAUUUUCAUCAAACAAUAUUAUUAAAAUUUAUAUCCAAAAAAGCAGAAGCGCAACGUAAAUAGGAGUAAGAAGGAGAGAAUGAUAAAAUGAAAGAAGUGGAUGUAGAAGUGUCUCACUCUCUCUCUCUCUCUCUCUCCCCCCCUCUCUCUCGGUUUAGCAUAUUUAAGAGGAGUACAAACUUAACUAGAAAUGGCAAGGACUCGAGCAAUGGUGAACAAUUUGCUUUUUGUCCUUAUGCAUUUUCUUAGCAUGCGUCUAACGAAUUUUUAGAGGCAAAUAACCUAUAUGACAAUAAAUAAAUGAACUCUUGAGAAAAAGUUUAACAGACCACCAGUAGUACAAUAGUGUGUGAACAGUCCCCAUUAAAACAACAAUAAAAUACAAUAUUUUAUGAUUGCCCAUUUGUGUUAUAUGUGCCAUGAUGCAAAGCAUUAAUUUGCAUAUGAAUCUGUAUGCAUUGUGAUUUAGGAAAUAGCAAACACUUAAAUUGAUUAAGUUAUACAUAGUAUGAUAUGCGCUGUAGUUGCUUCAGAUAUAAUCAAUAACUAUCUAAAUAAUUAACUAAGUGUUUCUGUUUAGGUUUCAAAGACAACGGUGAUAGUUUUAUAAUAUUACAUUUCAAUUAAUCGCGAGCGAUUAAUCGAAAUUUUAACUGUCACUACUCAGACGAUGUCGUUUGUACUGGCAUAUAAUGUACUGGGAUUCAACUUCGUGAUACGAUCAGCCAGAUUGACGUGGUGUUAGCUUCGUUAAUAGUAAUGUUACUUGUAAGAUACACCGAUACGCGGGUUAUCCGUGAGAUAUCCGGGUAUCUCAUUAGUAAUCUAUAUAAGAUAGUUGACAAAGUUUUAUCUAACUAUUUUACUUACAUUACUCAAAUGCCUAUGUAAUUUACGUUUUUGUGAUAAAUAAUAACACAAUCAAAUAAUUGAAUAUUUCAAAAUAGAUGUCUUUAUUUUUAUACAAAAAUACUAAGAAGUAUACAUUUUUAGAUUCAUACUAGAUUCAUAUUAAAUUCAUCUGCUUUGCAGAUGAAUAUUUCUGGUCAUAAAGAAUAAUCUUUUAGAUGUGGCAGAUAUUUUUGGUAUAGAUAAAUAUCCUUUUAGUAAUUUUGAAACUAUAUCAUGCACAAUCUCGAUGUUCGAAUUUAAAUCAAAUCUCCUCGUAAGCAAUGUUACCAAAAUAUUCUUGAGUUCUUCCAUUUCAAGUUUGCCCGUAUCACUAAUUUUGAGAUUCCAUUGUUGGCAACUUGUUCCUCGCUCUUCUAUAAAAAUUGGCAAUUUGUGCUAAUUUUUGAUAUUUUUUAUCUUGUAUUUUUUACCUCUGUAAUGGACAUAAAUGAUAAUUUAUUCCGAUAUCUUGCAAAUACCGUUGUAAUUCUGAAUUAUUAUGCAAUACUAGGAGCUUGUGAUUAUAAAAUAUAUCAAGAGCAUUACUUGAUAUUUUCUAUAAUUUCAAUAUUUCUGUUUUCUGCCAAUAGCUAUUGUAAUAAGAUCCUUUUUCGUUGUUUUCAAAUGAUAUUUGUUUAUCCCUUGAAUCCAAAAACGCUGUAAUACCAUGAACAGUUUCGAUGUUCGAAUUUAAAUCAUAUGUAUUUGUAAGUAAUAUUACCAAAAUAUUUUUAAUUUCUUUUCAGAUGUGUCAUUAAUUUUGAGAUGAUUAUUAAUAAGGCUGUGAAUAAUAAGAAGUACCGAAGAGAUGGUUAGUCCAUUUUCUAACAUAAUGUUGUAAAUUUAAUUGUAUCAUUCAUUAUUAUCCACUGAUGUUCUGAUUUAUCAAGUUUAAAUAUUUAAUUUCACAAUCGUUCUAUUUAUUAGAAUAGACAUAAUUGCAUAUCUAUUGUUUGUUAGCCUUUCAUAUAAUAGUAAGAACCAUACUCUAUGGGGCAAUUUUGAAUUAAUUUUUGUUUCUUUAAACCUAAUUGCUCUUGUUUUUCGAUUAAAGCAACUGUAAUGACGCUGGAGUGACCAAAAUAUUGCACGAUUUUAUACUUUAGCGCUAUUUCAACGCCUUUUUUGUGAACCGUUUGUUUGUUGAGAUAUUCGAUUGGGCCUAGAAGAGUUGUUCCAUCUGCUGGAUGUACUUUUACUAAGAUAGACAACUGGGAAAAUUUUUAUAAACAUAUUCUAAUAGCCUGCUUAACGAAUCAGCAUAAGGAAGUAUUCUCGCUCACAAGGGGUAAGAGCUCACAGAUGGUUUGGAUAUGGAAUCUAAGGCGAAAGUAAAAGUCUCUUUUUCGAUUUCAUACGUCAGCAAUGCUUCGUAGGUAAGGAGAGUUUCUCCUUAUGCGAAGGAGACGUGACGUUAGAAAUUUUAGAACAAACCAUAAAAAUGAGGGUAAAAAAUCGUGGAUAAAGUGCAAAUUCGUGUCUUCAUUAGCUGGUAUGUUUUCUUAUUGAUCAUUACCUUUAAUUCGUUGUCUGCGUCUACAAAGUUGUCUAAAUAUAUGUCAGAAUUUAAUGGAUACUGAACCUUUUUUUAAAUGUUCAGUAGAACCAUUCUGUCGAAAAUCACCUAUGUGAUUUGAUGACAAAACGCAUG